ACAGCUCUGGAAUACAGGUAAUCGCAGAAGAGGAACCUGACUAUUAAUUAAAUGACAACAUCUUCGAGUACGGACGCGGUGUGCAAGCCCUCUUUGGAGAAGGAAGCCUGAAGCGUUUUCUUGGAAGAUAAUUGAAAAAAGGUCAGCGGCUCAAACAGCAUACGGUAUUUUGGAGCAACC
rnacentral:other from 1 species